rnacentral:rRNA from 1 species
CAGCAGCCGCGGUAAUACAGAGGGUGCAAGCGUUAAUCGGAUUUACUGGGCGUAAAGGGCGCGUAGGUGGUUAUUUAAGUGAGAUGUGAAAUCCCCGGGCUUAACCUGGGAACUGCAUCUUAUACUGGGUAACUGGAGUGCAAUAGAGAGUAGUGGAAUUUCCGGUGUAGCGGUGAAAUGCGUAGAUAUCGGAAGGAACACCAGUGGCGAAGGCGGCUACCUGGAUUGACACUGACACUGAGGCGCGAGAGCGUGGGGAGCAAACAGGAUUAGAUACCCCUGUAGUCCCUGUCUCUUAUAC